rnacentral:sRNA from 1 species
GGUUCCUUGGGGAAAAGAAGGCAGUUAUUAACCAGGGAUAGCUCAUUAAAUCCUGGAAAUUCUGAUAAAAAUCUCUAGAUUAAAUGACUUCCGACAGACUUUCUAUGGACUUCCUAUCUCAAGACCUUAAAGAAACAUUCUAGUUUUCAUUCAUUAACCUAUGACCUAUGGAUGUAAUUAAUAUUGUUAAUAAAAAAAACAAUAUACAUACCCUCAAA